rnacentral:tRNA from 2 species
CGGCGGCGUGGGAGAGGAUCCGGGCCCUCUCACCGGGGGUGACGAUCUCCAGCUCCGAGAUGCGGGUGUCCGGCUCCGCCGCCGCCGC